rnacentral:rRNA from 1 species
AAAAGUCCGUAACAAGGUCUCCGUUGGUGAACCAGCGGAGGGAUCAUUACCGAGUUUACAACUCCCAAACCCCUGUGAACAUACCACUUGUUGCCUCGGCGGAUCAGCCCGCUCCCGGUAAAACGGGACGGCCCGCCAGAGGACCCCUAAACUCUGUUUCUAUAUGUAACUUCUGAGUAAAACCAUAAAUAAAUCAAAACUUUCAACAACGGAUCUCUUGGUUCUGGCAUCGAUGAAGAACGCAGCAAAAUGCGAUAAGUAAUGUGAAUUGCAGAAUUCAGUGAAUCAUCGAAUCUUUGAACGCACAUUGCGCCCGCCAGUAUUCUGGCGGGCAUGCCUGUUCGAGCGUCAUUUCAACCCUCAAGCACAGCUUGGUGUUGGGACUCGCGUUAAUUCGCGUUCCUCAAAUUGAUUGGCGGUCACGUCGAGCUUCCAUAGCGUAGUAGUAAAACCCUCGUUACUGGUAAUCGUCGCGGCCACGCCGUUAAACCCCAACUUCUGAAUGUUGACCUCGGAUCAGGUAGGAAUACCCGCUGAACUUAAGCAUAUCAAUAA